UACGAAGGGGGCUAGCGUUAAUCGGAAUUACUGGGCGUAAAGCGUGCGUAGGCGGUUUGUCGCGUCUGCCGUGAAAGUCCGGGGCUCAACUCCGGAUCUGCGGUGGGUACGGGCAGACUAGAGUGAUGUAGGGGAGACUGGAAUUCCUGGUGUAGCGGUGAAAUGCGCAGAUAUCAGGAGGAACACCGAUGGCGAAGGCAGGUCUCUGGGCAUUAACUGACGCUGAGGAGCGAAAGCAUGGGGAGCGAACAGG
rnacentral:rRNA from 1 species